rnacentral:rRNA from 1 species
UACGUAGGGGGCUAGCGUUGUCCGGAUUUAUUGGGCGUAAAGAGCGUGUAGGCGGCCAGGUAGGUCUGCUGUGAAAACUCGAGGCUCAACCUCGAGACGUCGGCGGAAACCAUCUGGCUAGAGUGCGGAAGGGGCUACUGGAAUUCUCGGUGUAGCGGUGAAAUGCGUAGAUAUCGAGAGGAACACCUGCGGCGAAGGCGGGUAGCUGGGCCGACACUGACGCUGAAGCGCGAAAGCUAGGGGAGCGAACGGG